rnacentral:lncRNA from 1 species
GUUUGUAAGGCCCAAGCCUGGACCUCACACUAGCUCUUUCAGGAGCUCCCAUGCUUAGAAAGAGUGAUGAAUGGAGGCCAGUGGAGAUCUGUGGAUUGGGGCCCAUGUUCAAAGGAGAAAAGGGCACUGGAAGGCACUGAGAAGGCUCUGGUGGGACCCUGGUGACAAUCUGGCUUGCUUGGAUGGGGAAAACUUGUGCUGUGUAGAUGGACAUGGGCCCUGAGCUUGAGGCCUGCUUCACAACUCAGCAGCUAUUUGACCUUGGAAAACUGGUGGGGUGUAGGGGGUCAUAUUCAUGUCCUCCAGGAAUACCACAAGGACUCAAUGAUGUAAGGAAAUUCCCAGCUCUAUUUGGCAUGUGGUUGGUGGUACAUAUCAGUGCUCUUCUGUUCCAUUUCCUUGGGGCCAAGAAGACAGAUCCGGGUGGGUCUUCUUCCCAGCAGUGGGAACAACUUACUCAAGUCUUCUGUGUCUGCAGCCCAUUGUGCUCAAUCUCCAGAUAUGAUGUUCAUGGUCUAGGUCACACUCCCUGGCAGUCCCCAGGGCUAGAGAAGCUGCUCUGGCCUCAGGCGCAGGCCCGUGCUGCCAAGUCGCCCCUGGGCAUCUCUCCCUGCAGCCCAGCUGGCUUUGAUCAGGCCCUCCCUGAGCCACAUUUCCCUGUCUUCAUUUGUCCUUGUUUAUGCUUCCUUGCAAACAAAUGUCAUGUCUUUCCCACGAGCCUCCUUCUGGCCUGUUUGGUUUUAACCCAGUUUCCUCUACUCAGAGAGCCACAUGCUGCUCUCAACCCCAGAGACUGGUGCCCAUUCGGGGUCUUUGGGGUAAAGGACCUGCCUGAGGGCUGGUGUAUUUUCCUGGGGAUGAAGUGGCCACGAAGCAUGCAGGUUUGCAGUAUCUUGCUUGUGGGACUAUAUGCCCCCCACCUCAGUUCCAUUAGCAUUCAAAUACAAUUAGAAACAAUUCGUUGCUUAUUUUCUUACAUGUAUUAAAUAAAAGUUACAGGAAUCAUUGUUUGAGACUGGGCUCCUGCCCUGGGCCCCAACAGAAAAAGACUGAAAAUCAAAAUGGAAUCAUUGAUGUUAAAGUUCCAUGUCUAGGAAAUUAGAAGCAGAGGUAAUAAUUAAAGUUCCCAAACAGGGUGAUUUCAAUUGGCACGAUAAUGAAGUUUUUGGGUUUUUUUUUCCUGCCUUAAUCCUUAAACAAAAAUGUAAGCUGAUGUUAACCAAUUGGUUAUUUCUCUCUUGUUCUGUCUGCCUGACCCUGUUUUACUGGGAAAAUACCUUGAAAAUGUUAUUUAAUUUUGAAAAUAUAUGUUAAUGACAUACAUUUUACUUUUUUUUCUGCUUUUUUCAGCCCUUUUCUGUCCCUAAAACCAAACUCUUCUUCUCAGCCCAUUUAAAUACUUAUUCUAUUUUAUAGAAUGAAUUGUUGCUUGAUUGUAGAAUAAAAAAUAAAGCCAAUUAAAAAUUUAAACUAAACUGAAGCUGGGGAUGUGGCUCAAGUGGUAGAGCGCUCACCUAGCAUGCGUGAGGCACUGGGUUCGAUUCUCAGCACCACUAAAAAUAAAAUAAAGACAUUGUGUCCACCUAAAAAAAAAAUUAAAAAAAAAUUAAACUAAACUAUUGUAAUUUUGUCCCUUGACACAUGAUUAUUAUAGAAAAAUUAGAAAAUAAACUAAAGAAUGAGGAAUCCCCUUUCCAUACAGAAAUACACACCAUUAAGGUUCAGGUAUGCCUAAUCCCAGACUGAACAUGUGUGUGGAUGUAUACAUAUGUGCACAUGCACUAGGUUUCACAUAACUGGGAUUAUAUAGUAUAUUUUUCACUCAUGACAUUGUGAACAUAUUUUCCAUUUCUUUAUUAACUAUGUGGAAUUCCAUUGUUUCCAUUUUUCUUUCACCUAUUAAACCCAGGAAUUCUUCAACCCUACCAACCCUAGCAGACACACAAGCCCCAGAACCACUCACCCGGAGCAACAUUUUUUUUUUUCCUUAACUGGAAGUUGAACCCAGGAGUGCUUCA